rnacentral:rRNA from 1 species
AACGAACGCUGGCGGCAUGCCUAACACAUGCAAGUCGAACGAUGCCUUCGGGCAUAGUGGCGCACGGGUGCGUAACGCGUGGGAAUCUGCCUUUCGGUUCGGAAUAACUCAGGGAAACUUGAGCUAAUACCGGAUAACGUCGCAAGACCAAAGAUUUAUCACCGAAAGAUGAGCCCGCGUAGGAUUAGCUAGUUGGUGAGGUAAAGGCUCACCAAGGCGACGAUCCUUAGCUGGUCUGAGAGGAUGAUCAGCCACACUGGGACUGAGACACGGCCCAGACUCCUACGGGAGGCAGCAGUGGGGAAUAUUGGACGAUGGGCGAAAGCCUGAUCCAGCAAUGCCGCGUGAGUGAGGAAGGCCUUAGGGUUGUAAAGCUCUUUUACCCGGGAAGAUAAUGACGGUACCGGGAGAAUAAGCCCCGGCUAACUCCGUG